rnacentral:rRNA from 1 species
GUCUUUUUGAUUAAUAAUUUAAAGUUUAAUCUGCCCCCUGAUUAAAAAUUAAAGGGCUGCAGUAUAUUGACUGUACAAAGGUAGCAUAAUCAUUAGUCUUUUAAUUGAAGACUUGUAUGAAAGAUUUGAUGAAAUAUAAACUGUCUCUAAAUUAUUAAUAAAAAUUAAUUUUUUAAUUAAAAAGUUAAAAUAAAUUAAAAAGACGAGAAGACCCUAUAGAGUUUUAUAGUAAUAUAUUUUUUAUUAUUUGUAUAUAAAAUUAAUAAUAAAAAAUGUAUUAUUAUUUUAUUGGGGUGAUAGAAAAAUUUAAUUAACUUUUUUUAAAAAUUAUACAUAAAUAAAUGAAUAUUUGAUCCAUUAAUAAUGAUUAUAAGAAAAAAUUACCUUAGGGAUAACAGCGUAAUUUUUUUUUUUAGUACAAAUAAAAAAAAAAGGUUGCGACCUCGAUGUUGGAUUAAGAUAAAAUUUAAAUGCAAAAGUUUAAAAUUUUGAUCUGUUCGAUCAUUAAAAUCUUACAU